rnacentral:rRNA from 1 species
UACGUAGGGUGCGAGCGUUGUCCGGAAUUAUUGGGCGUAAAGGGCUCGUAGGCGGUUUGUCGCGUCGGGAGUGAAAUCCACUGGCUUAACUGGUGGCUUGCUUUCGAUACGGGCAGACUGGAGGUAUGCAGGGGAGAACGGAAUUCCUGGUGUAGCGGUGAAAUGCGUAGAUAUCUGGAGGAACACCGGUGGCGAAGGCGGCAUCCUGGACCAACACUGACACUGAGGAGCGAAAGCCAGGGGAGCAAACGGG